AGAGUUCUGUGAUAUAUAGACUAAAAAAUUUUAUAAAUGUUUAGACAAGAAUGAUUUAUUAAAGUAAUACUUUCGAAAAUAAAUGCCGUUAGAUUUUACCAUUGACAGAAAAAUUUCUCUGUCAGAACUAUUAGAAGAUUCGACAAAUUUUCGAAAAACAUUGUAGUGAAAACAGUGUAUCGAAGUCGCAUGACCCAAGUCAUAAAAAAAACGUUUUUCACGUGGAUACCCUUGUCUCUAUGCUUUCUGAUGCUUUGGACAGAUAUAUAUUAUUACCAGCCUGUCAGUAAACCAGAUAAAAGGGGGAUGUAAUGAGUGUUCAAAGACGAUCAUUUCACUCCAGGCAAAAUAUGGUAAAUGUCAUAGAAUGUUUUCUAAGACUGUCCAGCUAUUGCUGGAGGGUUUCACUGUUUGUUGUCUAAUAUUAUAAGUAGUGUUGACACACUUAUUGACCUUCGGUUCGAUGCCUCAGGUAAUUGUAUCACUGUCAAUCUAUGUUGAAAAGAAUGUUUUUCAUCUUUCAUCCCUACAGAUAUAAUAUCUGCAGGGUCUCAAUAAAGAGAGAGAGAGAGAGAGAGAGAGAAGCUGAUUUUUUUUUAUAUAUAUUCUUGCUUGCUAUAGCCCCCAGCUGUCUCUGUUAGGAAAUAUUUCAUUUCCUUCCUUAGCUUCAAUAUGUACACGUCUUUCGUCGUUCUUCUAAAAGAGGAGACGUCAGAUGACAUGUCUCCACUCUUUGCCUGCUGGAUCACCAGGGCAUGAACGAAGACCCGCUACCAUCGUUGCCAUGGUUACACAGGGUGUGUAAAAGGGGAAGAGCCGAUGGGGAAAAGGAUUUUCUCAAGCGAUGGCUACGAAUAAUGUCGUUUGCAGUCUUGCUCCGAUCGAUCGUAGUUGUUGACUUACUCCUAUGUUCUGUUUAUUUAACCCGAGUUAAAAUGGUAAAGACCAUCAGUAGGAGAUGUUCAAUAGGUCCGCAGACCAUGUUUUUAGUUUUAUUACGGAAAUAUUUUCCUUGAAUGUAGGAUAAUUAACAAAGUGUUUAAAAGUUUGUUUCGAGCUAGGGAACGACAGGAUAUCCUGUAACCGAGAAAGAUCGAAUUCUUUAUAAAGGGAUUUUAGAAUUACAAUAGAAAUGAACUUUGUUAUGUGCUAGUUCCGAGAUAACAAAGAGAUAAUCUACAUCUUUUACGAGUAAAAUUCUUUCCUUAAUUUUCUAUCGAAAAUUAGAAAAAAAAAAAAAAGAACAGGU
rnacentral:lncRNA from 1 species